AUGCAGCUCCCCAGAGCCUCCUCCCGCUGCUCUCUCCGGGCUCUCCCAUUCUUUCCUCGGGACCUAAAAAUUCCUUCUUUCCAUCUCGAUCUGGAGGGCAUGGGGACGAGGGUGGCGACGAGCGCGCCUGUUGCCGCGGUGAGCUCUGUACUCUUCGAUAGAUCCCUUCCCCAGACCCCGCUCCCUAUGAUAGCUCAUUACCGGGGCUCCCCCCCAUGGACGAGGAGGAGGACGACGAGUGCUGCCCGGUGGAGUUCUUCCGGCUGCUUCCUGGAGCGGUCCAGGGCGAUGGGUAGCUCUCCUACUGCUGGUGCGGCAGUUUUACCCGACGGACUUCUUCCGGCCGUCCUGGGCUGCGUCAGCUGGUGGUGGCAGGGCUUCAUCGAGCGGAGCUGCAAGUACAGAGAGCAGGGAUUCGGUUCGACGGAGGAUGAGGAAGUCGAAGAGCAAGGGCACCAAGUUCUCCGCUGUUAA
rnacentral:rRNA from 1 species